GUGCGGUAACACGCACUGGAGGCCCGAACCCACUCCCGUUGCAAAGGUAGGGGAUGAGGUGUGAUUAGGAGUGAAAAGCUAAUCGAACCCGGAGAUAGCUGGUUCUCCUCGAAAGCUAUUUAGGUAGCGCCUCAUAUGUAUCCUCUCGGGGGUAGAGCACUGUUAUGGCUAGGGGGUCAUCGCGACUUACCAAACCAUUGCAAACUCCGAAUACCGAGACGGACUGUAUGGGAGACACACGGCGGGUGCUAACGUCCGUCGUGAAAAGGGAAACAACCCAGACCCACAGCUAAGGUCCCAAAUUUUGUGCUAAGUGGAAAACCAUGUGGAAAGGCACAGACAGCCAGGAGGUUGGCUUAGAAGCAGCCACCCUUUAAAGAAAGCGUAAUAGCUCACUGGUCGAGUCGGUCUGCGGGGAAGAUUUAACGGGGCUAAGCACAGAACCGAAGCUUGGGGUGCAUACUUUGUAUGCGCGGUAGAGGAGCGUUCCGUAAGCCGUUGAAGGUGGAUUGAGAAGUCUGCUGGAGGUAUCGGAAGUGCGAAUGCUGACAUGAGUAACGAUAAUGCGGGUGAAAAACCCGCACGCCGAAAGCCCAAGGUUUCCUUGCGCAACGUUAAUCGGCGCAGGGUGAGUCGGCCCCUAAGGCGAGGACGAAAGUCGUAGUCGAUGGGAAGCAGGUUAAUAUUCCUGCACCUCGCGUAAGUGCGAUGGAGGGACGGAGAAGGUUAGGUGUACCAGGCGUUGGUUGUCCUGGGGAAAGGCGGUAGGUUUGGAUCUUUGGCAAAUCCGGGAUCCUUUAAGACCGAGCACCGAGACGAGCCUUUAUGGCGAAGUCACUGAUACCACGCUUCCAGGAAAAGCUCCUAAGCUUCAGCUUACGCAGACCGUACCGUAAACCGACACAGGUGGGUAGGAUGAGAAUUCUCAGGCGCUUGAGAGAACUCGGGUGAAGGAACUAGGCAACAUGGCACCGUAACUUCGGGAGAAGGUGCACCCUUUUUGGUGGCUCGUGCGAGCUAUAGCUGAAGAGGGUCGCAGUAACCAGGCCGCUGCGACUGUUUAUCAAAAACACAGCACUCUGCAAACACGAAAGUGGACGUAUAGGGUGUGACGCCUGCCCGGUGCUGGAAGGUUAAUUGAUGGGGUCAGCCGCAAGGCGAAGCUCUUGAUCGAAGCCCCAGUAAACGGCGGCCGUAACUAUAACGGUCCUAAGGUAGCGAAAUUCCUUGUCGGGUAAGUUCCGACCUGCACGAAUGGCGUAACGACAGCGGCGCUGUCUCCACCCGAGACUCAGUGAAAUUGAAAUCGCUGUGAAGAUGCAGCGUUCCCGUGGCAAGACGGAAAGACCCCGUGAACCUUUACUAUAGCUUUACACUGAACGUUGAGUUCGUCUGUGUAGGAUAGGUGGGAGGCUAUGAAACCAUGGCGCUAGCUGUGGCGGAGCCAUCCUUGAAAUACCACCCUGUCGUGCUUGACGUUCUAACCUGGGCCCAUUAUCUGGGUCGGGGACCGUGUAUGGUGGGUAGUUUGACUGGGGCGGUCUCCUCCUAAAGAGUAACGGAGGAGCUCGAAGGUACGCUCAGCGCGGUCGGACAUCGCGCACUGUGUGCAAAGGCAUAAGCGUGCUUGACUGCAAGAUCGACGGAUCAAGCAGGUAGGAAACUAGGACUUAGUGAUCCGGUGGUUCUGUAUGGAAGGGCCAUCGCUCAACGGAUAAAAGGUACUCCGGGGAUAACAGGCUGAUACCGCCCAAGAGUUCAUAUCGACGGCGGUGUUUGGCACCUCGAUGUCGGCUCAUCACAUCCUGGGGCUGUAGUCGGUCCCAAGGGUAUGGCUGUUCGCCAUUUAAAGUGGUACGCGAGCUGGGUUCAGAACGUCGUGAGACAGUUCGGUCCCUAUCUGCCAUGGGCGUUGGAGAUUUGAGAGGGGCUGCUCCUAGUACGAGAGGACCGGAGUGGACGAACCUCUGGUGUUCCGGUUGUCACGCCAGUGGCAUUGCCGGGUAGCUAUGUUCGGAAGCGAUAACCGCUGAAAGCAUCUAAGCGGGAAGCGCGCCUCAAGAUGAGAUCUCCCGGGGCACAAGCCCCCUGAAGGAACCAUGUAGACUACGUGGUUGAUAGGUCAGGUGUGUAAGUACAGCAAUGUAUUGAGCUAACUGAUACUAAUGAUCCGUGCGGCUUGACCAUAUAACCUCA
rnacentral:rRNA from 1 species